rnacentral:rRNA from 1 species
CCAGACUCCUACGGGAGGCAGCAGUGGGGAAUAUUGGACAAUGGGGGGAACCCUGAUCCAGCGACGCCGCGUGAGUGAAGAAGUAUUUCGGUAUGUAAAGCUCUAUCAGCAGGGAAGAAAAUGACGGUACCUGACUAAGAAGCCCCGGCUAACUACGUGCCAGCAGCCGCGGUAAUACGUAGGGGGCAAGCGUUAUCCGGAUUUACUGGGUGUAAAGGGAGCGUAGACGGCAUGGCAAGUCAGAUGUGAAAGCCCGGGGCUCAACCCCGGGACUGCAUUUGAAACUGUCAGGCUGGAGUGCAGGAGAGGUAAGUGGAAUUCCUAGUGUAGCGGUGAAAUGCGUAGAUAUUAGGAGGAACACCAGUGGCGAAGGCGGCCUGCUGGACGAUGACUGACGUUGAGGCUCGAAAGCGUGGGGAGCAAACAGGAUUAGAUACCCCAGUA